GGUUCCAUGGUGUAAUGAUUAGCACUCUGUGGACUCUGAAUCCAGCGAUCAUAUUUCAAAUCUCGGUGGAACCU